rnacentral:rRNA from 1 species
CACCGCGGUUAAACGAGAGGCCCUAGUUAAUAGUGUUACGGCGUAAAGGGUGGUUAAGGAUAAUAAUUCAAUAAAGCCAAAUGGCCCUUUGACUGUCAUACGCUUCUAGGUGUCCGAAGCCCAACCAUACGAAAGUAGCUUUAACAAAAACAGCCUGACCCCACGAAAGCUGAGAAA